GACGUAGGAGGCGAGCGUUGUCCGGAUUCAUUGGGCGUAAAGAGCACGCAGGCGGUUUGGCAAGUCGGAUGUGAAAACCCGGAGCUCAACUCCGGACCUGCAUCCGAAACUGCCCGACUAGAGGUAGGUAGGGGAGAUCGGAAUUCCGUGGUGUAGCGGUGGAAAUGCGCAGAUAUCAGGAGGAACACCGAUGGCGAAGGCAAUCCCUGGGCCUGCACCUGGACGCUCAUGCACGAAAGCGUGGGGAGCAAACAGG
rnacentral:rRNA from 1 species